rnacentral:rRNA from 1 species
UCAGUCGAUCCUACGGGGAGGCAGCAGUGGGGGAAUAUUGCACAAUGGGCGCAAGCCUGAUGCAGCCAUGCCGCGUGUAUGAAGAAGGCCUUCGGGUUGUAAAGUACUUUCAGCAGUGAGGAAGGUGGGGUAUGUUAAUAGCAUAUUCAUUUGACGUUAGCUGCAGAAGAAAGCACCGGCUAACUCCGUGCCAGCAGCCGCGGUAAUACGGAGGGUGCGAGCGUUAAUCGGAAUUACUGGGCGUAAAGCGCAUGCAGGUGGUUUGUUAAGUCAGAUGUGAAAGCCCGGGGCGUCAACCUCGGAAUUGCAUUUGUAAACUGGCAAACUAAGAGUACUGUAGAGGGGGGUAGGAAUUUCAGGUGUAGCGGUGAAAUGCGUAGAGAUCUGAAGGAAUACCGGUGGCGAAGGCGGCCCCCUGGACAGAUACUGACACUCAGAUGCGAAAGCGUGGGGAGCAAACAGGAUUAGAUACCCUGGUAG